rnacentral:tRNA from 1 species
GACGCGAUUAGCUCAGCUGGUAGAGCAUCUGCCCGGUAUGCGGAGGGUCGCCGGUUCGAUUCCGGCUCGCGGCG